GACGAACGCUGGCGGCGUGCUUAACACAUGCAAGUCGAACGGUAAGGCCCUUCGGGGUACACGAGUGGCGAACGGGGGAGUAACACGUGGGUGAUCUGCCCUGCACUUCGGGAUAAGCCUGGGAAACUGGGUCUAAUACCGGAUAGGACUCCUGGCUUCAUGGUUGGGGGUGGAAAGCUUUUGCGGUGUGGGAUGGGCCCGCGGCCUAUCAGCGUGUUGGUGGGGUAAUGGCCUACCAAGGCGACGACGGGUAGCCGGCCUGAGAGGGUGACCGGUAACACUGGGACUGAGAUACGGCCCAGACUCCUACGGGAGGCAGCAGUGGGGAAUAUUGCGCAAUGGGCGAAAGCCUGACGCAGCAACGCCGCGUGCGGGAUGACGGCCUUCGGGUUGUAAACCGCUUUCAGCAGGGAAGAAGCCGCAAGGUGACGGUACCUGCAGAAGAAGCACCGGCUAACUACGUGCCAGCAGCCGCAGUAA
rnacentral:rRNA from 1 species